AUUGAACGCUGGCGGCAUGCCUUACACAUGCAAGUCGAACGGCAGCACGGGGGCAACCCUGGUGGCGAGUGGCGAACGGGUGAGUAAUAUAUCGGAACGUACCCUGGAGUGGGGGAUAACGUAGCGAAAGUUACGCUAAUACCGCAUACGAUCUAAGGAUGAAAGUGGGGGAUCGCAAGACCUCAUGCUCCCGGAGCGGCCGAUAUCUGAUUAGCUAGUUGGUGGGUAAAGGCCUACCAAGGCAUCGAUCAGUAGCUGGUCUGAGAGGACGACCAGCCACACUGGGACUGAGACACGGCCCAGACUCCUACGGGAGGCAGCAGUGGGGAAUUUUGGACAAUGGGGGCAACCCUGAUCCAGCAAUGCCGCGUGAGUGAAGAAGGCCU
rnacentral:rRNA from 1 species